rnacentral:rRNA from 1 species
GAUUGCCUCAGUAACUGCGAGUGAAGCGGCAAAAGCUCAAAUUUGAAAUCUGGCCUCAUCUCGGGGUCCGAGUUGUAAUUUGGAGGGGCAUCUUCGGGGUCGGCGCCGUCCUAAGUUCCUUGGAACAGGACGUCACAGAGGGUGAGAAUCCCGUGCCUGGGCGGCUGCCCGAUUCCAUGUGAAGUGCCUGCGACGAGUCGAGUUGUUUGGGAAUGCAGCUCAAAAUGGGUGGUAAAUUUCAUCUAAAGCUAAAUAUUGGCGAGAGACCGAUAGCGCACAAGUAGAGUGAUCGAAAGAUGAAAAGCACUUUGAAAAGAGAGUCAAAAAGUACGUGAAAUUGUUGAAAGGGAAGCGCUUGCGACCAGACUCGGCCUUGACCGGGGGGUUACCGGGCUUCGGCCCGGGCUCAUCUCCCCCCCCUUGGCGGGGCCAGCACCGGUUCCGGCGGCGGGAUAAAAGGCGAGAGAAUGUGGCUCCCUUCGGGGAGUGUUAUAGCCCUCGUCACAAUGCCGCCAGCUGGGACCGUGGAUCGCGCUUUAGCGAGGAUGCUGGUGUAAUGGUCUUAAGCGACCCGUCUUGAAACACGGACCAAGGAGUCUAACAUCUAUGCGAGUGUUCGGGUGGAAAACCCUUGCGCGUAAUGAAAGUGAACGGAGGUGGGAACCCCUCACGGGGUGCACCAUCGACCGGUCCUGAUGUCUUCGGAAGGAUCUGAGUAAGAGCAUAGCUGUUGGGACCCGAAAGAUGGUGAACUAUGCCUGAAUAGGGUGAAGCCAGAGGAAACUCUGGUGGAGGCUCGCAGCGGUUCUGACGUGCAAAUCGAUCGUCAAAUU